GCUGGGGCUCAGUGGCAGGGCGCUUGCCUAGCCUGCGGGAGGCCCUGGGUUCGACCCUCAGCACCGCG
rnacentral:tRNA from 1 species